rnacentral:lncRNA from 1 species
UUUCCUGCAAACAUUAUGUAGAGUUAAUUAUCAGAAACAAUUUAAUUAGCUUACAUAAAUUCAGAAAGUUAAAAUUAAUUGUAAAGCAGAACGUAUACCUUCCAAUAUGGUAAGUCAAAGAAGAUAGACUUUUUUUUUCCACCUCCAAAAAUCAUCAUCUUCUUCGAUUUCUUCAGCUGUUGCAGCUUCAUCAUCGUCAUCUUCUGCUUCUGCCCUUUUACGCUUCCCCUUUUUAGCUAAUGGUCUUCCAAAAUCAUUUCUAAAUCCUCUAAGGCUGUCAAAUAUUUCUUUCCCACUCUGAAUCCUCUUUGAAACACAAGACUCCACUGUGUUGUCAAACAAACCCUUUCUACGUCUGUAGGGAUGACCAGGCAUCAGUCGCUUCCUGUUGCCCAUAUACACAUGUUUCCUACUAAACUUAAGCCAUCUAUGCGGUGUCU